UCGUGCGGAAACGAGUUAUCUGAACCUUCGGGGAACGAUAACGGCGUCGAGCGGCGGACGGGUGAGUAAUGCCGAGGAAAUUGCCCUGAUGUGGGGGAUAACCAUUGGAAACGAUGGCUAAUACCGCAUAAUACCUACGGGUCAAAGAGGGGGACCUUCGGGCCUCUCGCGUCAGGAUAUGCCUAGGUGGGAUUAGCUAGUUGGUGAGGUAAUGGCUCACCAAGGCGACGAUCCCUAUCUGGUCUGACAGGAUGACCAGGCUCGCUGGAACUGAGACACGGUCCAGACUCCUACGGGAGGCAGCAGGGGGGAAUAUUGCACCAUGGGCGCACGCCUGAUGCAGCCAUGCCGCCUGUGUGACGAACGCCCUCCCGUUGUCAACCAC
rnacentral:rRNA from 1 species